rnacentral:rRNA from 1 species
GACGAACGCUGGCGGCGUGCUUAACACAUGCAAGUCGAACGAUGACGGUGGUGCUUGCACCGCCUGAUUAGUGGCGAACGGGUGAGUAACACGUGAGUAACCUGCCCUCCACUUCGGGAUAACCUCGGGAAAUCGUGGCUAAUACCGGAUAUGAGCACUCAUCGCAUGGUGGGUGUUGGAAAGAUUUAUCGGUGGGGGAUGGACUCGCGGCCUAUCAGUUUGUUGGUGAGGUGAUGGCUCACCAAGACGAUGACGGGUAGCCGGCCUGAGAGGGCGACCGGCCACACUGGGACUGAGACACGGCCCAGACUCCUACGGGAGGCAGCAGUGGGGAAUAUUGCACAAUGGGCGAAAGCCUGAUGCAGCGACGCCGCGUGGGGGAUGACGGGCCUUCGGGUUGUAAAACCCCCUUUCAGUAGGGAAAGAAAGCGAAGAAGUGAACGGUAAC